rnacentral:rRNA from 1 species
UUAAGAUGAAGUUUUCGGAUGGAAUCUUGAUUGACUGAGUGGCGGACGGGUGAGUAACGCGUGGAUAACCUGCCUCACACUGGGGGAUAACAGUUAGAAAUGACUGCUAAUACCGCAUAAGCGCACAGUGCCGCAUGGCAGUGUGUGAAAAACUCCGGUGGUGUGAGAUGGAUCCGCGUCUGAUUAGCCAGUUGGCGGGGUAACGGCCCACCAAAGCGACGAUCAGUAGCCGACCUGAGAGGGUGACCGGCCACAUUGGGACUGAGACACGGCCCAAACUCCUACGGGAGGCAGCAGUGGGGAAUAUUGCACAAUGGGCGAAAGCCUGAUGCAGCGACGCCGCGUGAGUGAAGAAGUAUUUCGGUAUGUAAAGCUCUAUCAGCAGGGAAGAAAAUGACGGUACCUGACUAAGAAGCCCCGGCUAACUACGUGCCAGCAGCCGCGGUAAUACGUAGGGGGCAAGCGUUAUCCGGAUUUACUGGGUGUAAAGGGAGCGUAGACGGCGAAGCAAGUCUGAAGUGAAAACCCAGGGCUCAACCCUGGGACUGCUUUGGAAACUGUUUUGCUAGAGUGUCGGAGAGGUAAGUGGAAUUCCUAGUGUAGCGGUGAAAUGCGUAGAUAUUAGGAGGAACACCAGUGGCGAAGGCGGCUUACUGGACGAUAACUGACGUUGAGGCUCGAAAGCGUGGGGAGCAAACAGGAUUAGAUACCCUGGUAGUCCAC